UUUCCCAAACUGACCCAUAAUUCACACCAUUCCUUAUCUCACAAGUGUUUUAUGCCUUUUUAAUCUGCAUGUCUCACUCUGCCAGGCACUCAUCCGCAUCUCCUGUCUCCUCUUUCUCUUCUCCUAUUCUAAUUCCUUCCUCUCACUUUUUCCCAGCAUGGAAUGAGUCCAGGUGGGGUGGCGCCGGUCCACGUCUCAGCUCCUUGGGGUGCUGUGUCCUCACCGCCCGCCUUCCCCUCUUCCCUCCACCUCCAUCUCCACCGCCCCUAGAGCAGCUAACCUCAAUCUUCCUGGCCUGUCUGGCGCAUUGUAGCAUCGUAAGAAUUAUGGACUGAAAGCUGGAACCGUCCAACAACUGCUCCGCGGACUGGCCCCAGUGCUCAAGAGGUCGCACAGCUGCAGGGGCCCAUACCCAGUAACCGGCCCCUCUCAUCCCUCCUCUCUCCUCCCCUGGUUGUCUCUCCCCUGAUACUCAUCCAGACUAAGACAGAACCAUAAAGUCUGAUCUGCUGUGCAGGUGAGGAUGUGAUUUGGCAGCUGAGCUCACCUUUGUGGAAUCCCGCAAGAAUGUGGCUUUGGGUAAACUCGUCCUGCCCUCCCGGCCAUCUAUUCACCUAUCCAUCCAUCCGUCCAUCUAACCAUCCAUUCCUCCCUUCCUCCUUCCACCCCCUCCUCCCUCUCCGCCUCUUUCCCAAAGCAGCAUAUAAUC